GAAACUCUUGAUCUCUCUCCUUGGGCAUAUACUGUGUCCAGCAUCCCUUCAAAUUGGAGGGAGAUUUCUGGUGGCAACUGUGCUAGCUGUUUUGGGGAUUGGCCUUAACCUCCAGGUACAGGUAACCCUGCCUCAGGGCAGGAAGCACUACCGGAUCUGCGGAGAUGCCUUCCAGGGCUGCGUUUAUAUAAUUCAUUUAAACAUGGCUGUACAAAGCUGCUGAGAAGCAUGUAUUGAUUGAGUGGUGCCUAGCUGUGCUAUAGGCUCAGUGCAGAUGGAUUUCCCAAGACAUACACAGAAUUCAAAAUGAAAUCGUCCAUCACAUAUUAAUGAGCAAUUGAUUAUACUGCAAAGAGUAUUUUGAAGCCACUCAUCUUUCCCUUGUAAACAAGAUGCCUCACUGAUUCAAAGCGUGUAAAAUAAAAUGUCGCAACAGCUUCUACCUCUAAGUAGC
rnacentral:lncRNA from 1 species